GACAGAGGGGGCAAGCGUUGCUCGGAAUUACUGGGCGUAAAGGGCGCGUAGGCGGGAUGGCAAGUCGGUCGUGAAAUCCCUCGGCUCAACUGAGGAGCGUCGAUCGAAACUGCCGUUCUUGAGGGUUGCAGAGGAGACUGGAAUUCCCGGUGUAGCGGUGAAAUGUGUAGAGAUCGGGAGGAACACCGGUGGCGAAGGCGGGAUCCUGGGCCAGUACUGACGCUGAGGAGCGAAAGCGUGGGGAGCAAACAGG
rnacentral:rRNA from 1 species